rnacentral:rRNA from 1 species
AUUGAACGCUGGCGGCAGGCCUAACACAUGCAAGUCGAGCGAGCGGCGGACGCGUGAGAGAUGUCUGGGAAACUGCCUGAUGUAGGGGGAUAACUACUGGAAACGGUAGCUAAUACCGCAUACCCUCAGAUGUGCCCACAUGGGGUUAGCUAGUAGGUGGGGUAACGGCUCACCUAGGCGACGAUCCCUAGCUGGUCUGAGAGGAUGACCAGCCACACUGGAAAGGAGACACGGGCCAGACUCCUCCGGGAGGCAGCAGUGGGGAAUAUUGCACAAUGGGCGCAAGCCUGAUGCAGCCAUGCCGCGUGUGUGAAGAAGGCCUUCGGGUUGUAAAGCACUUUCAGCGGGGAGGCGUUACCCGCAGAAGAAGCACCGGCUAACUCCGUGCCAGCAGCCGCGGUAAUAC